GCAGGGCUGUGCCAGUGCCCGGCCCCAGAGGGGCUGGCAGCACCCCCUUGUUCCUGUCACCACCCCAGAUCUGCUCCCAGGGACAGCUCCUGCUCCCUGCCACCAUCCCUGGCUCUGCUGGGGACCAGCCCGGCUCCAGAGAUCCCUCCCCAAGCCUGGCCAUGGCAGCACCUUCAGGGAGGGCUGCAUUCCCAGCCAGAUCCCACACAGAAAGGUGGAAUUUUUAACCUUGUGAGAGAAUGGUGGAGUUUUUAACCAUGUCAGAGAACAGUGGAAUUUUUAACCAUGUGAGAGAAUGGUGGAGUUUUUAGCCUUGUGAGAGAAAGGGGGAGUUUUUAACCAUGUGAGAGAUUGUUGGAGUUUUUAACCUUGUGAGAGAAAUCUCUGUGCACCAGAGGCAAAGAGAAGCAAAUCCACUUUAGGAACACACCCAUGGCAGGAGGAGCAGGACGAGGACAUCGCUGUGUCCCCUCCAGGCUGGCUGCUGAAAGGAUCCUGCAUUGUUUCCCAUACCUCAUAUCCCUGUAUUCUUCCUUUGUGCUGGUUCUCCCACGGGGGAGCCCAGGAAACUUCGACGUCUGAGGCAGAAAUGCUUCUGGCCAAAACAGUGGUUGGGGCUCUCGUUGGCUCUGGGCAGUUAAAAAUAGAAGUAAGACUUUUCAAUUCUAUGUUCAAUUAGUCUCAGACAUCAGGGGAUUUAUUUUCCUCAUUGCACAAGGAAGGAAGCAAACAAAUGUCCACGUUUCAAACCGAUGGCCUGUCAGGCUGUGCUCCCUCAGAAAUAAUAAGAUGUCAUUACUAAACUCAACCCAGGAUACCAUGUACUUUAAUUAGGACAAGUGGGAACAUUUUCUAAUCAGUGGACAUUAAUUCAUGCUAAAUCUCCACAGAAUUCUUCCCAGAUUACAUAUUACUUUUCCAUUUAUAUCAAAAGAUUUCAUUAUGAUUAAUGUUAUUUUAAUGACUAUUGAAAAGAAUUAAUCACGGUUCGCCAUUUAUUAUAAAUCAGAGCAAGGCUGAGGUAUCAAAGGAUGUGUCAAGGUGGAAACCAAACCUUUUCAGACCCUGUUACAUACAGGUAAAGAUAUUAUUAAAGAAAGGCCUUAUAAAAUUGUGAUUUAGGCCUGCUGCUUCAGCUAGGUGCAGUUACCCUGCUAGUUCCCAUAAGAAAGAAUUAAAGGAAUGAGAAGCAGUUAACAUAAAAACCUAUUUUAGUAAGAGAACUGUUUUCAACUGCAUAAACAAUAAACCUGUCCUACGAGAAUCAAUGGAAAAAAUACAUAAACUAACCAAAAAUAAAGAAGUUUGAUAGAUAUGAAAAUACCAUUUACCAACCAAUGACCUGAGUGUCAAUGUAUUGUCAGCCAAUUGUUAGGUCUGACACGGUGCCUUCUGAUAAUCCCAUAAAAAUAUGAACUAUGCAAUAAAGACUUGGCUUUCCUGCAUGAAGAAACUGAGUCCCAUCUGCUUUACUCAAACAAGACCCUGCGGCAUGGGUAUGAGAAAUGGAUUUGUAAAGAAUUUUAAAAACUUGAUAGAAAGCUUACUCAGUCUUGUACAUCUGUAUGCAAACACUGAGGUAAGGUGUGCUGACUUAGGAAGACCAUAGAGUAGAGGUAACAUUGUUGAGAGAGAGAUUAAAUUAAAAACAAGUUUCAACAAGCUUCAAAAUAUGGCCUUGCAAAAAGAUCAAAUAUUUUAGAGAAUUAGAACUGUGAAAGAUGCAUUAUAGCAAGACCACGUGGAGUAAAAAUAUAGAUGAUUCGUAUUAGAAGUAAUAACAGCAUUGUGUGGCAAAAGCCAACGGGCUGAAAAGCAUUUAUAAAGUAUUGUAACCAAGAAAUAGGUUAGCUUCUAACAGAAUAGCAUUAAGUUUUACAUCUCUUAUGUCUCACCCGUAUCAAGACUGAUAAUAAAUAAAAUCUUUUAAAACGCCUCUCAA